CGUACCCGGUUAAACUCCACUAGCAGUUUCGGUAUAUAGUACCGCAUCCGGAGUUGAGCCACCACUGUUCUGUGGCUCUGAUGACAAAAGCGCUCGUGGAAGUCUCUGAUGAUCAGAUCUGUGACGGGGUGUCUUCUUGGCAAAAGCUUGUAGAGCACACUGUUCCGGUUAAUCGCCUGUUUCCAAGGAUGUUUCUUCCGCGCAUCGCUGCGCAGGCAUUUAAUAUCGGCAGCAAACCCUUCCGACUGCACCAACGUGUAGAGUGUCCGUUCCGCAGCUAGCAGUUCAUCCUGUGUCAGUGGCCCUGUUACCUUCUUCACUUGCCUAAUCCGUCGCCGAGUGUUCCCGAUAUACCGAAGAACAUAACCGACCGCUCUCAAUAGUUUCUUCCAGCGUGAGAAACGAGUGAAGUCGACUACAACAUCAACCACGAUUCCCACAGGAACCCUGGCCCUCGGAACCAUCUGCUGGAUGAGGUUAAGUCCGGAACUCCCUGCCACUUCGUCCCGUCAUCCGCUACGUUGACCUUAGUGGAAAGCCACCGCCACUCGUUAAUCUCUGUCGUCUCGACCAGCUCACUCACCCGAAAGGCGACAAACGUGCUGUAUCGCCUAUGGUCCGAUCGUAUCCAGCUCACAACGUUCCGCGAGUCCGUCCAGAACACCCUCCUGGUAACCUUCAACCGAUGCGUCUUGAUGAUGUGCUCCGCGAAUCGUGCUCCUAUCACCGCCGCUUGAAGCUCCAACCUUGGUAUGGAUAAAAGUUUCAGCGGUGCGACUCGUGUUUUGGACCCAAUUAAAGCACACUCUACUAUCCCGUCUUCCUCGAAACGCAGACACACAUAACGUUUGAGAGCCAUUUCGCGAUUGCAUGGUAGGCGCACGUCGUCAUACUUCCACAAUAGGGACGUUUGAUACCGGUCACCUAUCAAUUUAGUUCCGGUAUUCAGCAUCUCAACCGCGCGUUCUUCUUCCUUCGGUAUCAGUUUGCGGGAAGCGGUGACUCCAAUGGAAUCCAGAGAGAAGUACGCUUUUAAUGCCAUGUCCAGCUUCUGACUAUUUUCCUCGUUACAGGUACACAAAUGAAAAUUGUUAUAUGCGGUGCUACUUACGGGACCGGAUGCGCUGCACGGACCGAACAUCGUCCACCCGAGCCUUGUCUUUGCGGCGAUUGGUUCGUUGAAACCACCUUCAACACAGCGUAGCGGUUUCCCCAGGUACGAAUGCAGCUUCACCAUCUUCUCGAUCGACAGAGUCUGUGCUGGCAACGAGAGAUCUCGCAAGGUGUGUACCUGUCGUAGGUCGUAUACCACCGCUCCUUGAUGCCUCCCCGAGAUCCGCAGCCCAACCUCUAACGAAUCGGCCUCGUUCCGCACAGUGU